AUUGAACGCUGGCGGCAUGCUUUACACAUGCAAGUCGAACGGUAACAGGCCGCAAGGUGCUGACGAGUGGCGAACGGGUGAGUAAUGCAUCGGAACGUGCCCAGUCGUGGGGGAUAACUACUCGAAAGAGUAGCUAAUACCGCAUACGAGCUAUGGAUGAAAGCGGGGGACCGUAAGGCCUCGCGCGAUUGGAGCGGCCGAUGUCAGAUUAGGUAGUUGGUGGGGUAAAGGCUCACCAAGCCAACGAUCUGUAGCUGGUCUGAGAGGACGACCAGCCACACUGGGACUGAGACACGGCCCAGACUCCUACGGGAGGCAGCAGUGGGGAAUUUUGGACAAUGGGCGCAAGCCUGAUCCAGCAAUGCCGCGUGCAGGAAGAAGGCCUUCGGGUUGUAAACUGCUUUUGUACGGAACGAAACGGCUCUGGUUAAUACCCGGGGCUAAUGACGGUACCGUAAGAAUAAGCACCGGCUAACUACGUG
rnacentral:rRNA from 1 species